UCUCCAGGAACAGGGUUGGAGAGCCCUGUGAUAGGACGGCGUAAAGAAAAAGAUAGCCGAAAUAGCAGUGGGCUGCAGUAGUGUGUGUUCUGGAGGCUAGACCAUCCUAAGCCACGCCCCUUGUGACUUUUGAGGGGAAAACAAAUCAUUCCUCCCCUUUUCUGGGUUUUAAUGGACAACCCUACGCUGGGUUUUGAUGCUAAUGACCAAGAACCCCCUUAUACAUGACAGGGUCCAAGAAGAGAUCAGUAGCGUCAUAGGAAGUUGUCAGCCCUUAGUAGAGGACAGGAAGAACCUGCUCUACACUGAUACAGUGAUCCAUGAGACCCAGAGACUAGCCAACAUUUUACCCAUGGCCAUCCCUCACACCUCUAGGCGAGACAUCACUUUCCAGGGCAUCAUCUUCCACUUCAUCAAGAAGGGGACGCUUGUUUUCUCGACUGACGUUUGUCCUACAAGACGGGAGUGAAUGGAAGAGCUCACACACCUUCAUCCCAGCCCACUUUCUGGAUGAGAAAAGUCGAUUUGUCAAGAGGGAUGCCUUCAUGCUCUGCUCUGCAGGCAAUUCCAAAGUUUGUUUCUUAAUUUACACUAUCAUUCAGCAAUUAACUCAAUCAGAUAUUCUAUUGUGCUCAUUACUUUGGCCCAGAGAGAGUUGAGGGGAUGGACGGGUCUGUGACAAAUAUAGAUACAUAUAACACUAAGCGAUUCAUUCAGAAUCCAUCUACGGUGGUCUAACGUUUUGGCAAUUGCUUUGAACCAGAGAGUUGAUGGUAUAGUUUAUGUUAUAGAAAUGUGUGUACAAUUUGACAUCUAUUGAUAUGUCAACUAUAGGAAAUAUAUGUAGACCUAAUUGUUAUAUGGUGUCAGAGAGAAUAUAGUAGACGGCAUGUGUCAAAAAGUGAUUGAUGAUCUAUUUUUAGUGUUACUUGUUUAUGCCCUUUUAUGGACAUCCUGUCCGGAUGUUCUCACGCUAUGGAAAUCCUGUCCGGAUUUUCUCAUGCUAUAGAGUGAGUGCUUAUGUAACAUGA